UUGAGCCUCAAGAAGUCAAAGAAUGCCCCAUAAUUUCCUGGAAUCUCUGACUAUCUGACCAGGAAGAAAGGACUUGUCAGACAAUUUGACAGGCUUGGUGGAAAUAUGAUCUCUUCUUCACAUUUCGAAUUUGAGAGGCUACUCCUUUUGUUAACGAAAGGGACUCGGGGCUCCUAGGGUUCCUAGUUCUGCAAUACAAAUGAAGUGUGAAAUUAUUUCAUUGCCUGAACUAAAAUGUCAAGGACUCUGUAGGACAUGAAAAAAUUGGGAUUUUCCUUCUUAAGCUAAGUUAUUGACACCUACAAAAAAAGGAAAACAUGAUGAUGGCUUCUCAAAGGCUUUUUCAAGGAAGAACAAGUUCUGAGAGGUCCUUACAAGAUGAGGUGUGGAACUAUGUCAAGACUGUUUUGGAACGUGCUCUGAAUCGUCCCAAAAGGUUUUGAACUCUCAACAGAUGCUGCCUACAUUUUCUACCCCUUGUUCUUGGCAAAUUCAUCACCAGGGGUCUGUCUGAUUUUCCUGAUGAUCCAAGGAUAUCAACGGAGUACACAAGCUGGCUAUGCCUCAUUUUUGUUAUUUGACUGAAUCACCUCCUUAUAGUCUAUAUCUGUUUUCUGAGGACCUGUCUUUGUAUGUAUGGGAGAUUGCCUUAUGGAAGCACUGAGUACAAACCUGGAUACAGAGGGAGAAAAGAACAAUUACAGGACACCAAGCACAGUUAUACUGACCAGAUAUGUUCCGGGCUGUAGCUGAAGGGGAGAAGGAGCUAGAACACACCAGAUAUCUUCAAAACUGAUUCUUUAAUUCUUUCAAAAUGAUGUCAUCUACAAAAUGGCUUUUAUAAACUAAUAGAAUCUCAGACUUGGAAGUUCAUUUAGUUAACAUAUCCCUGCAUAGGAAUCCCCUCUAUAAUAUUCCUGAGAAGUGGGCAUCCAAGUUUCAACUAGAAAGCCUGGAGAAUUUGCUACUUUCAUCUUCUGUACCUGGGGCUAAUUUCUUGGAAUCUGAAAAUAAAAACUAAUGGUGAAUUUUCCAUCCCAAUUGCAAGACCAAAGGACAACAGGCCAGUGCUCCAAUGUAUUGGGGCUGCCAACCUACUCUGAGUUCUUUCAGUAUUCAACUUCAAGGACAAUUCAUGAUUUGUUGCUUCAUCACUACCUGGUUGCGAUUCUCUGUAAAAUAAGCCUUUAUAUAUUUCAAGAUGAAUAGUAAUUUUUGCUGUACUUUGGUAUUUAAAUCAAAACGAACCUCACAGCAUCUUAGCUUCAAAUUCAGUGAUUUCAGUAGCCAAAUAAAACUUGAAGAUAUGCCCUAGAAAUUGAGAUUUGGGUAGAUGGUAUUGAGUAGAUAAUGAGAAAGAAGAAGGAAAGGCACAAUGCAUUUUCUUAGGUAUUGAGGCAAUUUGCUCAAACCCUUCCCCUUUCUUUCUAGAGAAGACAUGAGAUACUAAAGCAACAACAACUGGAAUUUCUGUUGAGUCUAUUUUUGCCACUUGUUGUCCUUCAGUCGUUUCAGUUGUGUCAACUCUUUGUGAUC